UGACUGGCAUUAUCGUUCAACCCACCCUGAAGCCGCUCGCUGUCCGUCAAAAGUAUUCCAAUCAAAACACUCAAUUACAGUUGGUUUAGCGUAGCGUGAGUGCGGACUUAUGGAUGGUGGUGCUCCGGGAGCCGUGGCUGACGCCGUGUGAGGCCUACCGCUGGUGUUUGUAGCCGGGCCGCCCGUGAAAAAGGUGCUUCCGAGCGAUGGACGAGCAACAAAGAAUGAUGCACCCAGUAUCACAACAUCCCAUCGUGAGCAUGGCGGGCCAUGUCGUGCCCCAGCAUGGUUACGGAAUGCCUCCGCAAUCGCACGGUGUCGACCCGACGGGCCAACAGGCCGCACCCGACCAGGAGCCGAGGAAGCACGACAUUUCGGAAAUUCUCCAACAGAUCAUGAACAUCACCGACCAGAGCUUGGACGAAGCGCAAGCUAGGAAACACACGCUCAACUGCCACCGAAUGAAGCCCGCUCUCUUCAGCGUCCUCUGCGAAAUCAAAGAGAAAACAGUGCUGAGCUUACGGAACACGCAAGAGGAAGAGCCCCCCGACCCGCAGCUGAUGCGGCUGGACAACAUGCUGAUCGCCGAGGGCGUGGCGGGACCCGAGAAGGGCGGCGGCGCCGGCGCGGCCGCCAAUGCCUCAGCCGCCGCCUCGGCCGGCGGACAGCCCGAAAACGCCAUCGAGCACUCCGACUACCGGGCCAAACUGGCGCAAAUCCGCCAGAUCUACCACCAGGAGCUCGAGAAGUACGAGCAGGCGUGCAACGAGUUCACGACGCACGUGAUGAACCUGCUGCGCGAGCAGAGCCGGACGCGUCCCAUCACGCCGAAGGAGAUCGAGCGCAUGGUCCAGAUAAUCCACAAGAAGUUCAAUUCCAUCCAGGUGCAGCUCAAGCAGAGCACCUGCGAAGCCGUCAUGAUCCUCCGCUCCAGGUUCCUCGACGCCAGGCGGAAGAGGCGGAACUUCAGCAAGCAGGCGACGGAGAUCCUGAACGAGUACUUCUACUCGCACCUUAGCAACCCGUACCCGUCGGAGGAAGCCAAGGAGGAACUCGCAAGGAAGUGCGGCAUCACUGUCUCUCAGGUGUCUAAUUGGUUCGGCAACAAGCGGAUACGAUACAAGAAGAACAUAGGGAAAGCGCAAGAAGAGGCCAAUCUCUACGCAGCAAAAAAGGCAUUCCCGAAAAAGAAAACAGACAGACAUACGGCCGGCGCGUCAGCCUACAGCAUGGUGCCGACGACGCAGGGUCAGCAGGGUCCUAUGAUAAGCCCACCGCCGCCGGGAGCGCCGCAGGACUCAAUGUACAACAUGAGUAUGAACGGCGGAGACUCCUACCAGAACGCCAUGGGCGCCAACGUGCAAUCGCAGCUCUGCAAUUUGGAGACGUGGGCCUGAGGCAGCGGCGGCGGCGAUCGUUGAUGAUGGCUCGCGGGAUGAAGCUCGCCUCUGCUCUUUGGCAGCGCCAGUGUCGCGUCGUCGUCGCCUGCCGACCUAACCGCCGGCUUUUUGUAAAGACAGAAAGACACGUUACGCGGGAGUCGCCCCCCUCCCCCUCCCAUCCCCACCUUGCCUCCGUUUCCUUCUUGCCCCUUUCUUUUUUUUCCCUCGCCUCUGCGUCGGCCCAGGAAAAGAAUGCAAAAGAAAGGGGGAAGCGAAGGAAACCACCAAAUGCAAAUACGGACACCAGUGUGCACGCGUGCGUGUGUUUGUUCUCUGCGUGUCUCUGUGUGCGUGCGUGCUCGCGCAACUCUGCCAAGUUUCGGCGAAACGAAGACAGAGUGGGGAGAAGACGACGGGACAUCGUCGCAUCGGCGCUCCCUGCAAACGGCAGGCAAAAGCGAGGAGGCGCGCUGGCUGGGAACGUGGCGCUGUUCCCUUCUGUGAAGAAAAUGGCGGAGCGUGCGCGGCCCGCGUCGACCUGCCUGCAAGUUCUGCGCGCCGGACCGACGCGAGACCACCGUGCCCGAGGAGGAGGAGGUCCCCACCCACAUCAUCCCCGUGCGACGCGACGACCACCACCGCCGCUGCUGACCCUGCGUGCUGCCGCAGCUCGAACCCCGAGUGGGGAAG
rnacentral:misc_RNA from 1 species